UACGUAGGGUGCGAGCGUUAAUCGGAAUUACUGGGCGUAAAGCGUGCGCAGGCGGUUCGUUGUGUCGGCGGUGAAAGCCCCGGGCUCAACCUGGGAAUGGCCGUUGAAACUGGCGAACUGGAGUGUGGCAGAGGGGGUGGAAUUCCGCGUGAGCAGUGAAAUGCGUAGAGAUGCGGAGGAACACCGAUGGCGAAGGCAGCUUACGUAGGCUGUAACUGACGCUGAGGCACGAAAGUGUGGGGAGUCAA
rnacentral:rRNA from 1 species